GUCAUCGUCUGGAACAAGACCCACUGAUAAUAAAAAGUUUGUUCCCUCUUCUUCUAAGGACAAAUAUGUACAAAUGAAGAAGAAGGGUAAAGAGAAAAAGAAAAUCGCUGCUAAGAAAACAAAAAACAGAAACAAGACUCCCAAAGGAAAGUGUUUCCAUUGCGGAGAGGAUGAGCACUAGAAGCGUAACUGCCCAAAGUAUUUGGCUGAUAAGAAAGCAGAAAAGGUGAAACAAGGGAUGUCUAUGCUUUCGUUCUGUAGCAAAGGCAACCAAAAACAGGAGAUCUGAGCCAAGAGUAUUCUUAACCAUUGAGGCAGUCAUUGUUGCAGAUUAAGUUUUUGUCAUGUUUAUAUACUUGUUUCGUAGGAGAGUGAAUGAGAAAAGUAAGUUUUUUAUAGGGCCUGAAUGAUUUUGUUCUCUAUAGAUUGGUGACACCAUGCUUAUUGCAAUUGGUGGAGUUCAUUUUGCCUCUAAUAUUCAAAUAACAAAACCACUUGGUCUGGUAUAUUCUAUUUUCCCUUUUCUCUUAGCUGCCUGACAGUGAAAUUUUACUCUUAAAUCUUAAAAUAUGGUUUAAAUGUCAUCUAAUUGUUCUGUCUAUGUAGAAAUCAUGUCUAGUUUGUGAACGGUCUAAAUACUCUUAUAUAUGUGUAAAUUGUAUUACUCUAUCCCUUGUAUUUUCUUGUAACAUGCAGUAAUUUUUGUUUAUGUAUAAUCUGUUCGUUUCCGUUUAAGACUGUAAUUGUUGUGUUCAUUCUUAAUGGAAUUUGAAACGAUCCACUUCUGCUGCUCAAAUGAUCUCUGUUUAGAUUUCCUUCAGUUUAAUUGUUUAGUUUGCUAAUGUGUUUAGACAUCAAGUUUGGAUUACAUUGUUUUGUAAUUAUUUUCUAUUUUUCUUCGUGGGUAUCGUAUGUGUAGUGAUUUGUUGAUAAGAUGGUUGAAAGCAUAUGUUUUGUUGAGUAAGAUGGCUGGAAGCUUAUGUUUUUCCUUUGUGAGUAUUGACUGCUUCAUUUGUUCCUCAAUUUAUGCUCUCUAAAAUCUUGAUCUCCCUUUGAUGUUUUUUUCCCUAUUGUACAUCUAAAGAAAAAUAAUUCUUCUACAAUGUAAAAAUUAUGACAACUUGUUAGCUUAAGAGAGUUCCAAAUAAAAUUUAGCUAUGUGUAUUUAUUUAUUUUUGUAAUUAUUUUUGUAGGUGGAAUGAAUGAGGAUUUGCAUAUGGAUGGAGAUGAUUACUUAUUUGGCCUUGAAUUUUAUACUCAUUACUUAAUAUUCAAAACUUUGUGAAUCUUGUGUUUUGUCUACUCAUUUUGAAGGAAUUGCAUUUUGACUUUCUUUCAUUGUAUUAGACACUAAUUAAAUAUUUUAUGUAAUGAAUUACAAAACUUCAAUGAUGAGAUAGAACUUGAGAA